rnacentral:lncRNA from 1 species
CGGCGCAGCAUGUGGCUCAGCGCGGCCACGAGCAUUCCACGCCGCGCGCGAUCGACGGAAAGAGCGCGCUCCCUCCCCUCCCGCCUUGCCUUGGCUUGCGUUUGCGUUUGCGUGCGCGGCCGGUGUCGUGCUGGUGAGCGCGGCCGCGGGAGGCAAGCUUUGGCUUGGCGUAAUAUACUACCCCGUGGCCGGCUAGCGACACGGGGAGGCGACGGCGACGGCUCCGGCUCCGCGUGCCUCUGCUAGCUGCGGAUCGCUUCGGCCCGGACAGCCGGGGGAUUUUGUACCGGCACUGCUGGCUAGCCGGACACACGUCAGAUGAGUGUGGUCGCGGAUUAUUCGCACGUACCACGCCUACGUACGUGGUCACAAGCGAGAUCCGCUGGUCGCUGCCGCGUCGUCGUUUUCCUGUACCCUCCUCUCGACGGUAUCUGAUUUUUUACUCUGUCCAACCGUAGUGAAGUGGAGGAACACAUCAUGCCGUAGCAGAGUAGCA